UGGGGAAUAUUGGACAAUGGGGGAAACCCUGAUCCAGCCAUGCCGCGUGUGUGAAGAAGGCCUUAGGGUUGUAAAGCACUUUCAGUGGGGAGAAAGGUUUGUCACCUAAUACGUGAUGAAAUUGAUGUUACCCACAGAAGAAGCACCGGCUAACUCCGUGCCAGCAGCCGCGGUAAUACGGAGGGUGCAAGCGUUAAUCGGAAUUACUGGGCGUAAAGCGCACGUAGGUGGUUCGCUAAGUCAGCUGUGAAAUCCCCGGGCUCAACCUGGGACUUGCAGUUGAAACUGGUGAGCUAGAGUAGGGUAGAGGGGUGUGGAAUUCCAGGUGUAGCGGUGAAAUGCGUAGAUAUCUGGAGGAACAUCAGUGGCGAAGGCGACACCCUGGACUCAUACUGACACUGAGGUGCGAAAGCGUGGGGAGCAAACA
rnacentral:rRNA from 1 species